rnacentral:rRNA from 1 species
AGACGCUCAGCCCGAGUUGGCACGACAAGAACAGUGUGCGCUGGAGAGACGUGCACUUAC